AACGAACGCUGGCGGCAUGCCUAACACAUGCAAGUCGAACGAUCCCUUCGGGGAUAGUGGCGCACGGGAGCGUAACGCGUGGGAACCUGCCCUUAGGUUCGGAAUAACUCAGAGAAAUUUGAGCUAAUACCGGAUAAUGUCUUCGGACCAAAGAUUUAUCGCCUUUGGAUGGGCCCGCGUUGGAUUAGCUAGUUGGUGGGGUAAAGGCCUACCAAGGCGACGAUCCAUAGCUGGUCUGAGAGGAUGAUCAGCCACACUGGGACUGAGACACGGCCCAGAAUCCUACGGGAGGCAGCAGUGGGGAAUAUUGGACAAUGGGCGGAAGGAUGAUCCAGCAAUGCCGGGUGAGUGAUGAAGGCCUGAGAGUUGUGAAGCUGUUUUACCCGGGAUGAUAAUGACGGUACCGGGAGAAUAAGCCCCGGCUAACUCCGUG
rnacentral:rRNA from 1 species